rnacentral:rRNA from 1 species
AGAGUUUGAUCAUGGCUCAGAGCGAACGCUGGCGGCAGGCCUAACACAUGCAAGUCGAGCGGGCAUCGCAAGGUGUCAGCGGCAGACGGGAGAGUAACACGUGGGAACGUGCCCUUCAGUUCGGAACAACCCAGGGAAACUUGAGCUAAUACCGAAUACGUCCGUAAGGAGAAAGAUUUAUCGCCGAAGGAUUGGCCCGC